rnacentral:rRNA from 1 species
GUGGGGAAUAUUGGACAAUGGGCGCAAGCCUGAUCCAGCAAUGCCGCGUGGGUGAAGAAGGUCUUCGGAUUGUAAAGCCCUUUCGGCGGGGACGAUGAUGACGGUACCCGCAGAAGAAGCCCCGGCUAACUUCGUGCCAGCAGCCGCGGUAAUACGAAGGGGGCGAGCGUUGCUCGGAAUGACUGGGCGUAAAGGGCGCGUAGGCGGCGGACACAGUCAGGCGUGAAAUUCCUGGGCUCAACCUGGGGGCUGCGCUUGAUACGUGUUUGCUAGAGUUAGGAAGAGGGUCGUGGAAUUCCCAGUGUAGAGGUGAAAUUCGUAGAUAUUGGGAAGAACACCGGUGGCGAAGGCGGCGACCUGGUCCUGGACUGACGCUGAGGCGCGAAAGCGUGGGGAGCAA